rnacentral:rRNA from 1 species
CCCUUAGACACUCUAGGCGGCACGCGCGCUACAAUGGGUGGAAGAACGUGUUACUGCCUCCGAAAGGAGGGGUGAAUCACGAAUUCUUGCACGUGAAUGGGAUAGUUUGUUGCAAUUUUCGGACUUGAACUAGGAAUCCCUUGUAAACAUGCUCAAGAAUAGCGUGUUGAAUACGUCCCUGCCGUUUGUACACACCGCCCGUCGUUUCUUCCGACUGAUACUCAUUGUGAGUUGCAAGGACCCUUUAUUGGGAAAUUGCUGCAAAUGCUUUGUAUUGGAGGAAGAAAAAGUCGUAACA